rnacentral:tRNA from 1 species
GCGCCCGUAGCUCAGCUGGAUAGAGCAUUCGCUUCCUAAGCGAGAGGUCGCAGGUUCGAAUCCUGCCGGGCGUACCA